GACGAACGCUGGCGGCGUGCUUAACACAUGCAAGUCGAACGAUGAAGCUGGAGCUUGCUCCGGUGGAUUAGUGGCGAACGGGUGAGUAACACGUGAGCAAUCUGCCCUUCACUCUGGGAUAACUGCGGGAAACUGUAGCUAAUACCGGAUACGAGACCUUGGGGCAUCCCAGGGUCUGGAAAGAAUGUCGGUGAAGGAUGAGCUGGCCGCCUAUCAGCUAGUUGGUGGGGUAAUGGCUCACCAAGGCGACGCGGGGUCACCGGUCUGAGGGGGUGACCGGCAACACUGGGACUGAGACACGGCCCAGCCUCCUCGGGGGGGCAGCAGUGGGGAAUAUUGCACAAUGGGCGAAAGCCUGAUGCACAAACGCCGCGUGAGGGAUGAAGGCCUUGGGGUUGUAACCCUCUUUUAGUAGGGAAGAAGCGCAAGUGACGGUACCUACAGAAAAAGCACCGGCUAACUACGUGCCAGCAGCCGCCGUAA
rnacentral:rRNA from 1 species